rnacentral:misc_RNA from 1 species
ACACGCCUUUGGAACAGCGAUGUAUUCACCGUGUUCAGCAGUGGCACCGUGUCAACGUGGUGAGAUUAUAGCAAUAUUGUGCGUUUUAACUUCUCAUUGUUGUUGUUGGUUGAUGUGUGAACCCAUUCAGAGUUUUCCAGAUUCAUAUUCAGUCGUAAAGGACAGAUCUUGUCAGCUACAGACCCAUAGAAUGAUGGCUGGCGAAAGAACCUGGGAUGCUGUUGUUGUUGGAGCAGGUAUAAGUGGUUUAUCAGCCGCCAAGCUCUUACAUGAAUCGGGCCAAGAUGUACUGGUACUAGAAGCAAAUGAUCGAGUAGGAGGACGGACUCUCAAUUUCUAUGACGAGUCUAUAAAAUACGCCGAAUUGGGUGGGGCAUACAUGGGACCCACCCAGGAUCGCAUCUACCGACUCUCAAAGGAACUAGGUAUCGACAAUUUCCACGUCGAAGACGACGGUGACGUCAUAGCUUACAACAGGGGUAUAUGGCGAUAUUUAUCUGGACAAUGCCCUGCAACUUGGAACCCCCUACUCUUCAUAGACCUAAAUCAUUUCUAUCAUCUCAUUGAUGAGAUGGGCAAAAAGAUUCCAAUGGAUCGUCCCUGGGACUUUCCUGAAGCCGAAGAAUGGGACAACAUGACGGUGAAGGAGUGGUGCGAUAAGACCUUCUGGUUCCAACUCACCAGAGACACGGUUGCUGUCCAUUGCUGUACUGGGUUAUGCUGCGAACCUAGUGAUCUAUCACUGCUUUACUUUCUAUGGUAUAUCAAAGGAUGCUGUGGAUAUCUAAGGUAUUCAUCCACAGUCAAUGGUGCCCAGGAGAGAAAAUUUCACGGAGGCAGUCAAAGUAUCUCCCUAGCCAUAGCAGAGCGACUUGGACAAGAUCGAGUUUUAACGAACAACCCAGUAAGCAGUGUGUUACAGGAUGAGGAAGGUGUGACAGUUACCACAUUAGAUGGAAAGUCAUACAAGGCAAAAUAUAUAAUAGCAGCUCUUCCUCCUGCCAUGCUAACUAAGAUCAACUUCACACCUAAACUACCAGCUUUGAGAAAUCAGCUGAACCAACGCUACCCGAUGGGGGCUGUGAUCAAGACUACCAUAUACUAUGAACGCCCAUAUUGGAAGGACUCCGGUUUCUCUGGCUCAGUGUUGGCCGAUGGCAUAAUAUCAGAAAUACGAUACGAUGGCAAGGCAGCAAUUGAAAAUCGGCAUGCUCUUGUUGGAUUCAUGUCAGGUGAUGGCGCGAAGGACCACUGUCAUCUUACGAAAGAACAAAGCCUGUUUACUAUGUUGAGAAGAACUGGAUGGAAGAACCUUUUAUAGGAGGGGGUUAUGUCGGCUACACGCCACCUGGAGUUAUCACCAAAUACUGCAGUGUUAUUCGAGAGCCCAUAGGUCGUCUUUUCUUUGCUGGUACCGAGACAGCUACUAAGUGGUCUGGAUACAUGGACGGGGCUGUCCA